GUGCUCGCUUCGGCAGCACAUAUACUAAAAUUGGAGCGAUACAGAGAAGAUUAGGGCAAGGAUGACACGCAACUGGCAUGCUUCUUGUCUCAAUAAU
rnacentral:snRNA from 1 species